rnacentral:misc_RNA from 1 species
AAGUCGUAACAAGGUUUCCGUAGGUGAACCUGCGGAAGGAUCAUCAUCGAAUUCAUAUCCCCCUCCUCAACCGGAGGGGGACCCAUGAUAAACCCUUCUGUGCACCGUAAACCGUUCACUUUGGCAGGCUUUGGUGGUGAGCGUGAGCUCGCCUCCAACCUCGCGUUCCCUCCCUAGGGGUGUUACGCGUGGCGGCCUGCCGGAGUCCCAUUAAAAAACUCGUUUUCGAACACGUCUGAAAAUUUCCUUUGAGAAAUCAAAGAACCGAAAACAACUUUCAACAACGGAUCUCUUGGCUCUC